UAGCCGUUAAUUUUCGCAUUUCGCGCCAGUAUUCAACUUGAGGGGAGAAUCCGAAAUUGGCAUAAUCGUAGCCCAGAAGUUUUGAACCUGUAAAUUUGGGGCGGGUCCAAACAGCAGCAUCGUUGGUGGUGAAUAUUUCCUUAGCCAAUUCCCAGGUACUGACCACCAAAGCUGAGUAUAUCCCAAUCCUGACGGUGAAGAUAGGUCCAUACUUAUCAGCUAAGGCUGCCAAAGUUAUGUGGGGAAGCUCACGUCCUGCCAACAAAGGGAGAUGACCUAAAAUCGGCCAUGCACCUCCAGCUUCGGGAGCUGCUUUGGCCUUGGCAGAUUUGGACCCCCUCAAGAGAAAGUAGUAAAAGAGAAUUACAGCAGUAAGCCCAAGGAUGAUGUCUUUCAGGUAUGGCGGAAGCAGAGCCAUAUUAUUACAGCUAAGGUGUCUUGGAUGGCGGAAUAUUUCAAUGUUAAAUCUACCUAAACGCGCACUUCUUCUUGUUCCCCACUAACAAUAUAAUUAAGCAGCGAGAAUCAAG
rnacentral:misc_RNA from 1 species